rnacentral:rRNA from 1 species
GACGAACGCUGGCGGCGUGCUUAACACAUGCAAGUCGAACGGAAAGGCCCUGCUUUUGUGGGGUGCUCGAGUGGCGAACGGGUGAGUAACACGUGAGUAACCUGCCCUUGACUUUGGGAUAACUUCAGGAAACUGGGGCUAAUACCGGAUAGGAGCUCCUGCUGCAUGGUGGGGGUUGGAAAGUUUCGGCGGUUGGGGAUGGACUCGCGGCUUAUCAGCUUGUUGGUGGGGUAGUGGCUUACCAAGGCUUUGACGGGUAGCCGGCCUGAGGGGGUGACCGGCCACAUUGGGACUGAGAUACGGCCCAGAAUCCUACGGGAGGCAGCAGUGGGGAAUAUUGCACAAUGGGCGGAAGCCGGAUGCAGCAACGCCGCGUGCGGGAUGACGGCCUUCGGGUUGUAAACCGCUUUCGCCUGUGACGAAGCGUGAGUGACGGUAAUGGGUAAAGAAGCACCGGCUAACUACGUG